UUUGUGUGUGAAUUUUUGUGAGUGGAAUAAAGAGGAGGGAUGCGGACUGCACGGAGCAUGCGCGUGCAUCUGUGAGAGACAGGGAAGGGAGAGAGAGAGAAAGGCUGAGAAGUAGGGGAGGGAGUUUGUCGUGAUAGAGAACCUGCGAGUGCUACUAAGGAGGAGAGAGCGCGAGAGAGAGCGGGAACACAAGCGAGUAACUGAGAGAUGGUGUGUGUGUGUGAGAGAGCCUUAGUUCGUCUGACUCUCGGAGCUGUAGACUGGACCAACCAUUUAGCCUUUGGACGCUCACGGCGCACACACACGUAGGCACACGCCACUGCCGCGUCACCCUUGCCGGCCGGUGAUGAGAGGGAGGAUACAGUCGUUUUGAGACAAAGGGGGAACUGCCUUUGAGAAGACUCAGCCUUUGGAUGUGUUGCAGGAGAAAAAUCACCUGAUCAUUGAGUUGUCCAGCAACAGCCUGAAGGCAUCCACAUAUGACCAGGUGGACAUCUCAAGGAUGAACAAUGGAAACAUAAUGCAUCUGAGCUCAAUUUCAAGUCUCA